rnacentral:misc_RNA from 1 species
GAAAUGCGAUACGUAGUGUGAAUUGCAGAAUUCAGUGAAUCAUCGAAUCUUUGAACGCACAUUGCGCCCUUUGGUAUUCCAAAGGGCAUGCCUGUUCGAGCGUCAUUUGUACCUUCAAGCUUUGCUUGGUGUUGGGCGUUUUUGUCUCCCUCUUUCUGGGAGACUCGCCUUAAAACGAUUGGCAGCCGGCCUACUGGUUUCGGAGCGCAGCACAUAAUUUGCGCUUUGUAUCAGGAGAAAAGGACGGUAAUCCAUCAAGACUCUACAUUUUUAACUUUUGACCUCGGAUCAGGUAGGGAUACCCGCUGAACUUAA